GGUAACAGGAAGCAGCUUGCUGCUUCGCUGACGAGUGGCGGACGGGUGAGUAAUGUCUGGGGAACUGCCUGAUGGAGGGGGAUAACUACUGGAAACGGUAGCUAAUACCGCAUAACGUCGCAAGACCAAAGAGGGGGACCUUCGGGCCUCUUGCCAUCGGAUGUGCCCAGAUGGGAUUAGCUAGUAGGUGGGGUAACGGCUCACCUAGGCGACGAUCCCUAGCUGGUCUGAGAGGAUGACCAGCCACACUGGAACUGAGACACGGUCCAGACUCCUACGGGAGGCAGCAGUGGGGAAUAUUGCACAAUGGGCGCAAGCCUGAUGCAGCCAUGCCGCGUGUAUGAAGAAGGCCUUCGGGUUGUAAAGUACUUUCAGCGGGGAGGAAGGCGAUAAGGUUAAUAACCUUGUCGAUUGACGUUACCCGCAGAAGAAGCACCGGCUAACUCCGUGCCAGCAGCCGCGGUAAUACGGAGGGUGCAAGCGUUAAUCGGAAUUACUGGGCGUAAAGCGCACGCAGGCGGUCUGUCAAGUCGGAUGUGAAAUCCCCGGGCUCAACCUGGGAACUGCAUUCGAAACUGGCAGGCUAGAGUCUUGUAGAGGGGGGUAGAAUUCCAGGUGUAGCGGUGAAAUGCGUAGAGAUCUGGAGGAAUACCGGUGGCGAAGGCGGCCCCCUGGACAAAGACUGACGCUCAGGUGCGAAA
rnacentral:rRNA from 1 species